CGCGUAGGCGGCCAGUGCAAGUCAGUUGUGAAAUCUCCGAGCUUAACUCGGAAAGGUCAACUGAUACUGCUCGGCUAGAGUGCGGAAGGGGCAACUGGAAUUCUUGGUGUAGCGGUAAAAUGCGUAGAUAUCAAGAGGAACACCUGCGGCGAAGGCGGGUUGCUGGGCCGACACUGACGCUGAUGCGCGAAAGCUAGGGGAGCGAACG
rnacentral:rRNA from 1 species